rnacentral:rRNA from 1 species
GACGAACGCUGGCGGCGUGCUUAACACAUGCAAGUCGAACGAUGAAGCUGGAGCUUGCUCCAGUGGAUUAGUGGCGAACGGGUGAGUAACACGUGAGCAAUCUGCCCUUGACUCUGGGAUAACUGCGGGAAACUGUAGCUAAUACCGGAUACGACACCUUGGGGCAUCCCGGGGUGUGGAAAGAAUUUCGGUCAAGGAUGAGCUCGCGGCCUAUCAGCUUGUUGGUGUGGUAAAGGCUCACCAAGGCGACGACGGGUAGCCGGCCUGAGAGGGUGACCGGCCACACUGGAACUGAGACACGGUCCAGACUCCUACGGGAGGCAGCAGUGGGGAAUAUUGCACAAUGGGCGAAAGCCUGAUGCAGCAACGCCGCGUGAGGGAUGACGGCCUUCGGGUUGUAAACCUCUUUUAGCAGGGAAGAAGCGAAAGUGACGGUACCUGCAGAAAAAGCACCGGCUAACUACGUGCCAGCAGCCGCAGUAA